UCACCUUUUGAGGAUCUGGCAAGGAAGCAGACAGCACUGCAAAAACAACAAUGCCGAUUUGGUUGACAUAGGCAGUCAAGAGGAACAGGAAUUCAUUCUCAACAACACUCAAGCCUACUAUGAUGAAGAUCAUGGGUACUGGAUCGGCCUGACUGACAUAGCAGAAGACGGUCAAUGGCUUUGGGUUGAUGGACGUAAUCAGAAUCUGACUGAUGGGUUUUGGAAGAUUCAACCUGUAUGGGGUCGCGAUUGUGCUUUAACUAACCCAAACAAUGCACCUUUGGCUAAUUGGAAUGCUGCAUCGUGUGGCCAGAGAAACCGAUGGAUCUGUGAGAGUAAAGCAUUAAUAUGGUCAGGGUAAAUUGAGCCAUGUUCACAGUCAAAAGAUCUAUUGUAUAGCAGUGUAUAAAACAUUUAAAUAGAACACUUGUGUAGGGCUUUCAUAGGUUCCGUUUUUUAUUUUUUAUUUUAAUAAUUGUUGUUUUAUAAACGAUGCAAUACUUCUAAAUUAGCAGCUUUGUCACUUCAUGUAAAUGUACCUCAUCAGAGAGUAGUAAGGAAAGUUAAU